rnacentral:misc_RNA from 1 species
AACGCACCUUGCGCUCCUUGGCAUUCCGAGGAGCAUGCCUGUUUGAGUGUCAUGAAUUCAUCAACCCCGAAGGGAUUUGCGUCCUUCUCGGUGGCUUGGAUUUGGGGGAUUCUCUGCCGGCCUUCACCGGUCGGCUCCCCUUGAAUGCAUUAGCUUGGACUUGUCCCGGCGACGUCAUAGCGUGAUAACUAUCUACGCUUUGAACCGUCUGUUGGUACCUUGUCGGUCUGGCUUCCAAUCGUCUUCGGACAAAGCACCAUUCAUUUUGACCUCAAAUCAGGUAGGACUACCCGCUGAACUUAA